rnacentral:rRNA from 1 species
GUUUGAUCCUGGCUCAGGACGAACGCUGGCGGCGUGCCUAAUACAUGCAAGUCGAGCGAACCACUUCGGUGGUUAGCGGCGGACGGGUGAGUAACACGUGGGCAACCUGCCUGUAAGACUGGGAUAACUUCGGGAAACCGGAGCUAAUACCGGAUAAUCCUUUUCCUCUCAUGAGGAAAAGCUGAAAGACGGUUUCGGCUGUCACUUACAGAUGGGCCCGCGGCGCAUUAGCUAGUUGGUGAGGUAACGGCUCACCAAGGCGACGAUGCGUAGCCGACCUGAGAGGGUGAUCGGCCACACUGGGACUGAGACACGGCCCAGACUCCUACGGGAGGCAGCAGUAGGGAAUCUUCCACAAUGGACGAAAGUCUGAUGGAGCAACGCCGCGUGAGCGAUGAAGGCCUUCGGGUCGUAAAGCU